ACAAAACCUAACCUAAAAUGUGGAACAAUACAAAUUUCCACCACAGAAAACCAUCAAACAGAACUAUUCUGCAAGACAGUACCUCACCCCGGCGUCCAAGGCCAGGACCCUGCACGGUAAGCCUCAUUUAAGGAGAGGCUGAGUGUUACAGUCUUGCCAGGCAGCGGGGAACCGUGGUGAUAAGGGCAAUGAGACAGCAGCCGGAGCUCAGCAUAUUGGCGGAGUUUGGCCACACGCUUGGCAGCACGAAGAUGCCCGGACAGCACUAACUCUAAGAGGGACUUUCAAGUUCAGCUGUGAUGUCCACACAAGCAAUGCCAAACCUAGUCUGGGAGUCCAGCAUUCUGGAGCAGGAAAAAGAAGAAGGGAUCAUGUCCACCCCAGGCAGAGACGGCAAACGCCUCCUCAUCGCCACGCUUGCCUGGACCAUGCUCUGCCACAACGGGUCACACUGAGGAGUCCACUCCAGGAUGGACAGCCUUGGCCAGAAGCGCCCACACAGGAGAUCUGGUCGUCAGGAAGGCUGAAAUUCUGCUCUCUUGAAUGCAUGUCCAGAGAAUUCUGACAAGCUUUUUCCCGGACCACUCAAGGCCCCACUGUAAACAGGGAAACUCCUUGUUCUGUCCUCAUCUGAAGGGAGACUCUGGAACGCCAACAAUUCUCCCUCUAUCAAGCAUGAGACAUCCUUGUCAAGAUCUCACAGACUUCAGGGCCUUAUAGAGUGAGCAGCCAAGGGAAAAUGCUCCCAAGGAUAAGGAAACAGAGGAAUUUCAGAUUCCAUCAAAACAACCAUUAGAGUAGAUUCCAGAACAACAGCUUCCCGUGCCAGCUGGCCAUCAUGCCUGUCCAUUUUCAGAGUAAUCAACUGUAUGAAUAUAUUUUUAAAAGGUAGGUGUGAGUGAGAGCAGAUUUGGUUUCCAUUUUCCCUUUGGUAGAUAAUAAGCUAUGAAUGCUUUCUUUAAGAAUAUUUGUGAAUGUGCCCAGAGGUUAGCGAAAAAUGAGAAUAUUUGAUACAGCAAAUAAUACCAGCUUUGUGUAUUCUCCUGAAGUUUCCUAAGCUUGAACCCUAGGCUGGAAUCAUUCUCUCCUAAAAGACUACAUAAGAUGAAAGGUAGGGAAUCUUGGUAUAACCUAGGAAGUAAUGCUUACCAGCAAAUAAAGUCACUCAUCAAUUAUCUGUAGAUAAGUGGACUUUGGGGGAAAAAUUGUAUUUAAAAAAUCUCUGAGGAGCUCAAAUAGUUGACAAACCCCAAGCACGUAAGCAAGUCUUAAGAGUUUUGAUCAUUCUUCAUGACUUGCCGACAUUUAGUUUGCAUACAUUUCUACCAGACAGAGCCAUCUGGCUUUUCAGACCUCAGCCAAUGGAAAAUGGAACUUUUGAAAAAGAGAGACAGGAGCAAACAAGGACCAGGUAACAGAAGUGACAGGAGUGACAGCUAGAGAAGAAACAAAAACGACAUGAUUUAAGAAUUGUUAGCCAUGGGGCGCCUGGGUGGCUCAGUGGGUUAAGCCUCUGCCUUCAGCUCAGGUCAUGAUCUCAGGGUCCUGGGAUGGAGCCCCACAUCAGGCUCUCUACUUGGUAGGGAGCCUACUUCUCUCUCUUUCUCUGCCUGCCUCUCUGCCUACUUGUGAUCUCUGUCUGUCAAAUAAAUUAAUAAAAUCUUAAAAAAAAAAAAAAAGAAUUGUUAGCCAUAACCUAAGUGUGAUUCAUUA
rnacentral:lncRNA from 1 species